CGCCUCUUGAAAAAUUAUAAGAGGUCCAGCCUGCCCAGUGAUAUAUUUAACGGCCGCGGUACCCUGACCGUGCAAAGGUAGCAUAAUCACUUGUUCUCUAAAUAGGGACUAGUAUCAACGGCAUCACGAGGGUUAUACUGUCUCCUCUUUUUAAUCAGUGAAACUGACCUCCCCGUGAAGAGGCGGGGAUAGUUAUACAAGACGAGAAGACCCCAUGGAGCUUUAAACUCAAUAGCAGCCCACACUAAAUUUUAUCUAAAUAAUGAAAAAGCAGUGUUUAUUGGUUUUAGGUUGGGGUGACCACGGAGAAAAAUUAAACCUCCACGAUGAAUGGACCUUAAUCCCAAUCUACGAGCUACUACUCUAAGAAUCAAUAAUUUGACAUAAUAUGAUCCGGCAACCGAUCAACGAACCAAGUUACCCUGGGGAUAACAGCGCAAUCCAUUUCAAGAGCCCCUAUCGACAAAUGGGUUUACGACCUCGAUGUUGGAUCAGGGUAUCCUAGUGGUGCAGCCGCUACUAAAGGUUUGUUUGUUCAACAAUUAAAACCCU
rnacentral:rRNA from 1 species